GCUAGGGAGGAUCGUCAAGAACUUUCCAAAACAGAGAGACACAGCAGUAGUGACAGGACACCUUAGCACCCCUAGGUGUUAACGCAGCCACAAUUGUCUUCAAAUGCUGCAGACGCUCCCGUAAUAGCUGCGCAUUGUGGAAAGAUAACUUAGGGUUAUUUGGGAUUAUCGGAGAGCAAUUCCAAGAAGAUGAGCAGUCCACGGAAACCCGCAGAACCAGAUAAAUUAGAGCGGGAUCGUUUCCAGUUUGUUCUACAGAGCGUUAUCAUUGCAGUGCUCUCAUGUAGCGCAAAAUUUGAGGUAAAUCCCGUAGUUGAGUCCACCACUACCAACCGCUGCGUUGGCCUGCUUUGUCUAGUACCGCUCUCUCUCACUCGUUUCAUAUGUCUUCAGAGUCACGUGUAGUCCGGAAUUUCAUUGAAGAAAAGGAAGGAGACCCCGGAAGAAGAAAUAUGUGGAAAUAGUUCAGAUACAUGAAUGUUAUCCUUGGAGACCGAGUAUUGCAAAAAUUAUAUUUCAGUCUCUAAUUUUCAGGGUCGAAUUAUAAUUCCAAUUAUCUUCCACAGAAUGUAGGUUUUUUCAAUGAGUAACAAAGUCAGUUUGUAUUAAUCAUGAAUGGCAUAGUUCAGAUUUAUUUCACACAUAUUUCAUAAUUUAAUAUAUCCUUUGCUGUCACGAUAUAUCUAUGAUACUACUCACGAUUGAAUAAUAAAUAUAUCACCUACCAGUCUAAGAGCCCGUGAAACCCAGACCUUCGUUAUUUUAUAAAAGCUGACAGUGUGUCAGUAAAUGCUCCCAAUACAGGUAAGAACGAUGGACCAUUAUGAAGUUUGGGUUGCCCUGGCUUUGGCAGGUAAACGGUACUAAAGGUGUGUAAAAUACCGAUUUAACUUCAUCGAAUAAUGAAGUGCGAUUUUUUGGUAUUAUCUUCAGAAUAUGAUAAAAAAUCACAUUAUUCAUUGCCAGUCACUUAACAUCUUGGCAACCCCUUGCCAGACACCCUUAAUGUUCAU
rnacentral:misc_RNA from 1 species